AUAUUAUAUUUAUAAGCCUAAUACUGAUCAUAGCUGAAGCAGUGUUUAACGAAAAUUAGACUCCUUUUUAUCAGUCUUGUGUGGCAACCAGAAUAGCAGAGAAGGAAUGUGGAGAGCAUACCUAUAAGGCUGUGAGACCUUUGUUAAAGUAUAUUCAUCAGAUGAAGGCAAAGACAGAGAAAUCAAGCAACUGCAGAAGCAACUUAACCAAAAUAAUAAACAGGUCAUUGAGGAGCUUAGAGCUCAGAAUCAAUUCUACAAGCAGAGUAUCAAAGAGCUAACUAACGAAGUUUUGUCAAUAAAAGAGGAAAUUGGUAAACUUAUUUCCAAUCCCUUAAGAAUCCCGGACUAUGAAGUGCAACUGGAGAAUCAAAAGAAGUCAAUUGAUCAACAGGCCCAACAAAUAUCAGAACUCAAAGACAAAAUCAACAUUUGUGAAAAGAAACUUAAAAGCUGUGAAGAGAAGCCCGUUCACAGUGACUGCAACGACUUUGCUGAUGCUCCGGGUAUUCAUACGAUUACUCCAGAUCAAGAAGGUCCUUUCGAUGUUCUCUGUGAUAGUGCGACAGCAAGUCCUGGCUGGACAGCAAGGAGGAUUUUUAUAGGAAUUGGAGCACAUAUCGUGAAGGCUUUGGUUCCCUUCAUGGUGAUUUUUUCUUAGGUCUUGAAAAGAUUCAUCGAUUGACGCGCGCCCAGCCUCAUGAGCUCUACGUGCAUAUGGAAGGAUUUGAUUUAGACUUGAUCAGCUUGGGUAAAUCUGAGGGCAGUGCAACAGCUGAUCGCUUGCAAUACCACAAACAUCAGAAAUUCACCACAUUCGAUCGUGACAAUGACAAUUAUACUUAUCUCUGGCAACUGCGCAAGCGAAAACAAAUUUUGUGGUGGCUGGUGGUUCCGUUCACAGCUAUUGAUCGGCACAGCUUUGUCAAAACAAUUUAAAUGCAAUUAAUUUUGAUAGUGUUUUCUUUCUUUUUUUUUAGUAAUUUAAAUGGCAAAUACUAUGAUCAUAAGGUGGAUAAAGCUGAUGCCAUAUUUUGGGAAUAUUUCUUCACCUUGAAGACAGUCAAAAUGCUUAUACGCCCCAAAAUCAAUGGAAAAUAAUAUAUAAAAACAAAAAUGUAAAGCAAUUUAUUGCAAAAAAGCUAAAAUUGUUUUACAAUUUAUAUAUAAACAGAUUCAUAUGCUGUUAUCCCAACAAAAAUUCACAAUUGACCGGUAUAAAAAACAAACAAAUUCAAA